AUUGAACGCUGGCGGAAUGCUUUACACAUGCAAGUCGAACGGCAGCACGGGGGCAACCCUGGUGGCGAGUGGCGAACGGGUGAGUAAUACAUCGGAACGUGCCCGGUCGUGGGGGAUAACGUAGCGAAAGUUACGCUAAUACCGCAUACGAUCUGAGGAUGAAAGCGGGGGACCUUCGGGCCUCGCGCGAUCGGAGCGGCCGAUGUCCGAUUAGGUAGUUGGUGGGGUAAAGGCCUACCAAGCCGACGAUCUGUAGCUGGUCUGAGAGGACGACCAGCCACACUGGGACUGAGACACGGCCCAGACUCCUACGGGAGGCAGCAGUGGGGAAUUUUGGACAAUGGGCGCAAGCCUGAUCCAGCCAUUCCGCGUGCAGGACGAAGGCCUUCGGGUUGUAAACUGCUUUUGUAUGGAACGAAAAGGCUCUGGCUAAUACCUGAGGCUCAUGACGGUACCGUAAGAAUAAGCACCGGCUAACUACGUG
rnacentral:rRNA from 1 species